CCAAAGCGACGAGUUGAAGGGCUCCCUGACGAUCGACAAGCUAGACCAACGGGAGGAGGAAGAACGGGGCUCACCAGCCGAACAGCUCGUGUCAAUCCCGAUAGCGAAGAGACCCGACCGAAAGGUAUGGGUCGGGUCUCGACUACCCGACUCAGAACGACGACGGUUGGCGAAGCUGCUGAAGGCCAAUGCCGACAUAUUUGCUUGGUCGGCAGCAGAUAUGUCGGGCA
rnacentral:lncRNA from 1 species